AGAGUUUGAUCCUGGCUCAGGAUGAACGCUAGCGGCAGGCCUAACACAUGCAAGUCGAGGGAGAGGUUACCUUCGGGUAACCAAAACCGGCGCACGGGUGCGUAACGCGUAUACAAUCUGCCUUUCACAUAGGGAUAGCCCGAAGAAAUUUGGAUUAAUACCUAAUGGUAUAUAAGAGCGGCAUCGUUUUUAUAUUAAAGCUACGGUGGUGAAAGAUGAGUAUGCGUUCUAUUAGCUAGUUGGAGAGGUAACGGCUCCCCAAGGCGACGAUAGAUAGGGGUUCUGAGAGGGAUGUCCCCCACACUGGUACUGAGAUACGGACCAGACUCCUACGGGAGGCAGCAGUGAGGAAUAUUGGACAAUGGUCGGAAGACUGAUCCAGCCAUGCCGCGUGCAGGAUGAAGGUCCUAUGGAUUGUAAACUGCUUUUGUAAGGGAAGAAUAAGGAGUACGUGUACUUUGAUGACGGUACCUUACGAAUAAGCAUCGGCUAACUCCGUGCCAGCAGCCGCGGUAAUACGGAGGAUGCGAGCGUUAUCCGGAAUCAUUGGGUUUAAAGGGUCCGUAGGCGGGCUGAUAAGUCAGAGGUGAAAGCGCUUAGCUCAACUAAGCAACUGCCUUUGAAACUGUCAGUCUUGAAUGAUUGUGAAGUAGUUGGAAUGUGUAGUGUAGCGGUGAAAUGCUUAGAUAUUACACAGAACACCGAUAGCGAAGGCAUAUUACUAACAAUUAAUUGACGCUGAUGGACGAAAGCGUGGGGAGCGAACAGGAUUAGAUACCCUGGUAGUCCACGCU
rnacentral:rRNA from 1 species